ACUCAGCAAACGCCCGGCUUCAAGAGGCCUCAGAGAGCCAGGGGAGCGAGCUUCCAGCCUGAAGAACAAGCUGUUGUUGCUGUUUAUCAAGGGAGAGCAGAUACAUCAGUGUCUUCUGACAGAAAAAGUGAUCGCCAUCAGGAUGGUGAUGACCACGAUGAUCCCUAGGAUGACGAGCAGGAUGCGGUUCUGGAUGAUUCUAGGAGACAGCAAAGGAGAAAAAACACACACAGAUAAGUGGAAGGCCUUCCCACAAACGCCGUCCGAGGCCAGGUUGGCUAAUCAAACGGCAGCUUUGCAGGUGGGGGUGGGGAGCGUGUGUGUGUGUGUGUGUGUGUGUGUGUGUGUGCGCGCGCGAAAGAGACAUCACGCAGCUUUCUGGUUCUACAAACGAUCCACGAGGAAACGAAAGGCUCCACAUGAUUGUCACGCUGCCCUCCGAGAAAUGCUUACUGCAAAGCUAAGGCGAAUCAAAUGGCUUUCGAGGCUCAGAAAAUCAUGUAGCCUCUUUAAGUGAUCAAGGGCCCCUUGCGAGCUUCUCUUUCUAAUUUAAAAGGCGAGACAAGCCUCAUUUUUUGCAGUGUUUCCUGUUAAAGUAAAAUACUCCAAGGAAACACAUGUCAGCAAUGUACUUACCUGCACAAAAAUACCUGGGGAAAAGUAAAACAGAGACUAAGGAAGAAAAGGAUGGGAUUAAGAAACAAGUGUCAAAUGUGCAGCUUAGGCUGUGAAACCAUCAUCUGUCAGUGUGGCUCACGCUCCGUUACGCUAGGAGGAAACGUUACAUUUGCUCCAUAGCAAAAAAGAUGGAAAUGAGAAAUAUACAAUGUACUCAAGGUGCCUGUUGUGCGUCUGUUGCUGGGCCUUUACCUCCAGGGAUUCUACCUCCCUGGGUUCUGGCUGGGCUGCACGCUGAUGGGGAACCAGCAACUUAGAAGGGGGACCAGAGUGGAGACACACGCUCCCAGAUGCCUGCAGAGAGCUUCUGAUGAGGUUGUUUCAUAAUUUGUUACCUCAUUCGGAGAAAAGAGGUCGAACAUCAGAAUGCUUUGUUGAGAGUUUCAAAGGGAACCUAGGUCAAACAGCCGUGCCCACGCUCGCUCUCACAGAGCUGCACGGAAAUAGAGACAUGAGCUGGCUGGCAGUCUAGCCAGCUAUCUGUCCAGCUUAAAACCCCACGGCAAACCCCAUCCAACCCUCCUCCAAAUACCAAGCAGCAAAAGGCCUGCUGCCCUACUCCAGUCACCAAACACUGGACAUGGGUCUUCCAUGGGGAGGAGCUGGGGAGAUGAAGCUGGGCUCCCCACGGAACAGAGACCCCACACCCCUACUUUGUAUCUUCACACACAAAAAAAUCUUUGCAGGGUAUUUUCUACUUCCUAGAUGAGUUUAUUUCCUGGAAGGAUGACAUCAGGUUGUAGUUUUAGUCAGAUUCCUCCUCACCCAUCCCCUUCUUCUCCAAACCUAAACGGUUGAAUGGAAACUGUCUUAUCAGACCAACCCACUCCCUCGUGGCCCCCUAAAAGGACGAGCUCUCUCUCCUCCUGACAGGUAACAAAAUGAUCACAUUUGCUGACACGUCUUCCGCAAAACUGCCUUAGUGCCUCUGUCCACUCUCCUCGCAGGAGAUGAAUGGUCCACUUGGUCCUCAUUUAUCACUCAAGGCUUGGCUAAGAUCUGUCUCGUUUAGUUCUUCCCUUCCCCACUAGAAAGUCUGCACUCCGACAUUAAUUCUUCUGUGAUGACAGCUAAUUCAGACUUAACAGGCCACACUUACUCAAGAGGCAGGAAGAUUCUCUGUCCCCCAAAUAAAUAAAUAAAAACAGGACUUCAUGGCUUAUGAUAGUGAGGCUAAUUAUCAACACUGAUCGGUGCUACUUGGUGGCUCUGUUUAAAACCCAAAUUGAUUUUUUCCCCCUUUUCUCUGGGAGGGACAGGAGCCUUCAGAAUGGUCCCUACACAUCCCAUUUGCCCAAGUCACUGUCAAAAUCUCUAUUUACCACAGUCACCCGCAUCAGACUUGCAAAGGAAAUCAGCAAAAUUGAAACUCAGCAGUGAAACAGAUUAAAAGCAUGAAAACUCUUUAAAAUUCUGCCUUAAGUAAUCUACAGUAGUGUGUCUCUUGUACAGCUUGGUUGACAACCAUUUUAUUUGUGGGUUGAGGGCCCCAAGGCAUCCAUGAUGCUAAUUUAGAAAGGAUUAACUGUGGGUGUUACUUGUUCAAUCUGAGGCAUGGUAAGAAAUAUGAAUACACAGGAAUCCUUAAAUCCUCAGCUCUUCCCUAACCUUCCUAAUUGGGCUUCACCCCCUCCUUGGUGCACCCACAGGGCCUGGUGGCUUCCCCUCCACCGCCCGCUCUGUUGCUUCCAAGGGCCCAACCUGUGUGGACUGGGACCAUGUGGAAUUCACCUCUACCACCCCAGCACAUGGCACAGUCGCGUUGCACACAGGUACUCAAAAGAGAACUGCCCAAAGAGUGAUCGUGAAAGAAUGCAGUCUCUGGUAACUGUAAUCUUCCAUUCAAAGGAGAAUGGAGAAGUCUGUGCAAUUAAUUUGCAGGAAAAUCUCAGGAAGUCUGCAUGGAAAAGGUUAAAGUUCAAAGUUGAAGCAAGCCCCGUCAAAGAUGAAACUUCCUACCAUCACGCCUUCUCAGCACUACUUGGUCUUCCCCCUGAAGCUAGAAGGAACUCCUUUGUGCUGGGUGGGGGCGGGGUGUCAGCAGGAAAGGGCAUUUGCUUUCAAACCAAAUGCUGGCAGACAUUUGGGAGGAAGAGUAGAAGGGGAUGGGGAAAGAGUUGGAAUAGAGAGAGCUCUAAGCAAGCUUGACUGGCUGGGCCAUCCACCCCAACCUUGGACCUCAAAGGAGUUGUGCAAAUGUGAUACCCCUCAGGACCAGAAAAGUGAACUGUCAGGGCAUCUGGGUGGAUAGGACUGAGCCAGUUUGGAAGGGGGAAAUACAGGCUGGCAUUGGUGGGCCCCAUCUGUGAGGAAGCUUAGUUGCAAUCGCAGCCAGGGGCUGCCGGCCUGUAUUGCUGUAGGCAAAGCAGAAAGGAAUGCAGAGCUCGGAGACAAUCAGAAAAACCAGCUAGGCCAAGGGGUUCCCAGCUAGUGAGAUGGCAGCGAAGGAACUUGGGGAGAAGCCCAAAGUAACUUCCUCCUAACUUUGGGCAAGGGGAGGGCUUUAUGUUGAACUAGGUCUGCAGCAAGCCGUCUUAAUCUCCCUUUUGAAAAUGCAAAGUGUGUUUACCCAGUAAAUAAUUUAAGAAAGAAUAUACACUUGAAAGAAGACAUCCAUUGAAACAGCCAGGCUAAAUUGCCUCCAGGCAAAAACUUGUGCAUUUGCAUGCUGCAUUCUAUUAAGUGAGCACACUGUGGCUUUAAAAGAAUGCAGAGCCAAAAUAAAAGGAAUGUGGGCCCGAAACAUCAAGGAUUCUCCAAGUUUACAUUAUGAAUCACAGUGCUGUUGAUACAAGAUGAAUUAACCAUUUACUUUGAGGCUGAACUCACAAAGUACUAUUGAAAGUACUGAUCCCCAUGUGGAACUCAGGGAGCGGUUAAUCUUUCCAUUGCCAGUCUCCUCCCAGCCUGGAAACGAGCUCCUGCGUGUGGCAGCCGGAAUCACAGAAGGCUGGUUCCAGUGCAGGGGACAGGCGCGGCACUGCACCUGGCACAGUUCUCUGCUCUUGCUCGAGGAGCCCAGGAAUUCCACUGGAACAGGCAUUACGAGUGUUCUCCAAUAGCCAGUUCUCCUCUACUUCCAGGCAUGGACUGCACUCUUUUUUUUUUUUUUUUUUUUUUUUUUUUUGAGACGGAGUCUCGCUCUGUCGCCCAGGCUGGAGUGCAGUGGCGCAAUCUCGGCUCACUGCAAGCUCCGCCUCCCGGGCUCACGCCAUUCUCCCGCCUCAGCCUCCCGAGUAGCUGGGACUACAGGCGCCCGCCACCACGCCCGGCUAAUUUUUUUUGUAUUUUUAGUAGAGACGGGGUUUCACCGUGGUCUCUAUCUCCUGACCUCGUGAUCCGCCCGCCUCGGCCUCCCAAAGUGCUGGGAUUACAGGCGUGAGCCACCGCGCCCGGUCUGCACUCACCUUAAUGUUAGGCUUGGUCAUGGAACUAGCUUUGGCUAAAGAAAUGAGAGCAAAAGUUCUGAGUGUCACUGCCAGCUGGAGGCAUCUAACUUCCAGUGUUUGUCUCUCUAGCGGGCUCUUCCUGCGGUUUUGAUUUGGGGAGGGAGGGGCUGUAUUGUUCCAGAGAGUACAAGUUAUAGGAUGGUGGUAACAUCUUCUGCCUGGAUCCUGCAGUCAUUAUGUAAAGGGCCACUGUCCUGGAGAUGCACCUGGACUCCCAGUGGACUUGCGUUAAGCCAUUGAGGACUGGGGGUUGUCACUGCCGAAUACCAUAAGCUCUUUUACCCUGAGUGAUAACGCUACCGUCCGCCUCUCAGACAAGACGAGGCAUCUGGCCAAGCCAAGAGAGGCUCUGGUUUCAUGUAUUUCAGAAGCUAAGGUAUGAUGAAGACUGAUAAGAUUUUUUUUUUCUUGAAGAACAGGUUUUUGCCUCUUGGUUUUCAAAAGCUGGGAACCUCUUCUGACCUCUUGGUCACAACACUUUUCACUGAAGAAUCAGGAGCUUCUUCCAGCCAAUGCUCCUGUGUAUUGAUGACUGAUGAUAUCAUGCGUGAGGCCUCACCAGGCCUAGCCAGGCAUCCGCUUCCUGUGUACAGCAGAUCUACAGUGGCUGCGUUCGUUUCCCUAUUCCAAACAGCUGAUGCUACCCCAGCUCCAGGGGUACAGCUGUGACUGAGGCUGAGAUGGUCAGUACAUUCCAUGCCCCUGGCCAUGGUAACUGGACCAGGAGCAGGCUUGUGACUUAAGUCCAUCCAACAGAGUGGAUCUCAGCAACUUUGCUUGAAAUGCGGGGUCACCUGGACAGUUUGGUGUGUGGAUGUCAGGCUGGAUCCACUGCAGGCCUUUUGAUUCAUUGAGGGAAGCCAACCUAAGAAAGAAGCUGACCCACAGUGGGCAGAGAAAUAGAACCCCAGUCCUGAAGACAGAGAACUUUAAUUUUUAACUUUUUUUUUUUUUUUUUUUGAGAUGGAGUCAUUCUCUGUCUCCAGGCUGGAGUGCAGUGGUGCGAUCUCAGCUCACUACAACCUCCCCCUCCCAGGUUCAAGUGAUUCUCGUGCCUCAGCCUCCCAAGUACUUGGGAUUACAGGCACCUGCCACCAUGUCCAGCUAAUUUUUGUAUUUUUAGUAGAGAUGGGGUUUCACCGUGUUGGCCAACCUGGUUCCAAACUUCUGACCUCAGGUGAUCUGCCCAUCUUGGCCUCCCAAAGUGCUGGGAUUACAAGUGUGAGCCACCAUGCCAGGCCGACAGUGAACAUUUUUUUUUUUUUAAAUCAAACCACCCUUUCUUUGGACUUUAACUUAUAUGAGAAAAUAAACUGACUUUAUUUUCCAAAGUCAGUUUGAAUUGGGUUUUCUGUUAUUUAUGACCAAAAAGCAUUUUUAGGUUGAGUCACCCUGAUUCCAAAACCAGGUCCUUGAUCUACGGCAUAUGUGCAUUCUUCCCUCCUCUUCCAAGAGGCAUUUCCUGGCUAUGUCCCUCUCGUAUUCUCCUAUCUCCCUACACAUCUCUCUUUCCAGUACAUUGACUACAGUCCCCAGUAAAAAGUGGACCUUCCACAGUCCGAAUUUCUUUUGUCUUUUGUAUCCCUGAUGCCUAACACACAGCUUGGCAUAAAUGUUCUCAAAACAUGCUUGCUGAGUGAAGAAAUGAGAGACUCUACCUACACGUGCUCAGGGUCACGUGGUUAUUGCUCUCCUGGUUUCUAAGGACUGCUUGUAGAUAAGCACAGCUUUAGGACUUAGCUGUUAGCCACUGUCCCAUUAAGGAUGCCAGCGGAGUCCCAACUUUUUUACAAGCCUGUGUUCAUUAGCUGGAGAGUGGCAGACACUUUACAGGUUCAGAGCAGCAUCCUGUACCUGCCUUCCUGCCUGGCCGACUGGCCCUGAAUAACGAUGCCCCACUUUUGGGGUCUGACAGAACAGUAACAAUUAGCAACCGUGAGAGCAUAGGAUAAAUUCUGAGCAGAGGAACCCGGAUCUGCUUCUCUCUAGGCACUUCCCAAAACAUGGGCCAAGGGAAAGCUCUUUAAAUUCUAUAUCCAAUUCAACGUUACUAUUCACCAGAAAGAAAUGAAAACAGGAGUAGGAGAAACAGUUAAUUGUCAUCUGCCUCAAACACUCACUUUAAUUGGAAGGGUUAUUUUCAGAGCUGGGGACAUGUUUGCCUCUGAGCUAGAGCUGUGCGGUUAUCAUGCUGCCUGAUAAUGCCCAUCUUGGGUCUUCUAUGUCCUGCAUCUCUAGGAGUAAUCCUCAGCCCCAUCGCGAGAAUUCAGGGAGGCUGAUCCCACUCUGAUUCCACAGAUGGACAUAUGGCCCAGGCAGGCCCAGCCAAUGACAGCUCUCUAGCUCUUGCACUACCAUUUGCUCAAGGAUUGGUCUGCCACUCAAGCCAGAUGGAAUUCCUCUUGGGAUUCUUCCUGGAAAAUCAAGAAAAAGAUACUGUCUUUACUGAGAUUGACUGUCAGGACAGUGAGAACCUGGAGCUGCCAAGGACCAUUCUUACUACCAUACCGGACGAGGCUGCCUGAAAGAAGCCGACACCAGAGGAAUGCAGAGCCGAGAGAUAAAGAAAAAGAGACGGAUUCCUGAAGACAUAUUUGAACCCCUGCUUCCUGCUGUGUGCCUGAAACCUGAAGAGUCACACUUCAGCUUCCCAGUUACAGGAGCCAAACAAUUCCCCAUUGACUGCAGCAAGUAUGGUUGGGGAUUCUCUCGCUUUCUUUUUUUUUUUUUUUUUUUUGAGAUGGAGUCUCGCUUUGUCGCCCAGGCUGGAGUGCAGUGGCGCAAUCUCAGCUCACUGCAACCUCCACCUCCCGGGGCCAAGUGAUUCUCCUGCCUCAGCCUCCUGAGUAGCUGAGAUUACAAGUGCUGCCACCACGCCCAGCUGAUUUUUGUAUUUUUAGUAGAGAUGAGGUUUCACCAUGUUUGCCAGGCUGUUCUUGAACUCCUGACCUCAGGUGAUCUGCCCACCUCAGCCUCCCAAAGUGCUGGGAUUACAGGCAUGAGGCACUGCACCCAGCCUCUUACUUUAAAUCAUACUGAUUGUACUGGAUUGAACAGUGUCCCUGCAAAUUCAUGAGGUUCCACCUGGAACCUCAGAAUGUGAUCUUAUUUGGAAAUAGGGUCCUUUUUAUUUUUUAUUUUUAAGAGACAGAGUCUUGGCCUAUUGCCCAGGCUGGAGGGCAGUGGUGCAAUCACAGCUCACUGCAGCCUUGAACGCUUGGACUCAAGUGAUCGUCCCACCUCAGCCUCCCAAGUAGCUGGGACUACAGGCAUGCACCACCGCACCUGGCUAAUUUUUAAAUUUUUUGUAAAGACAGGGUCUCACUAUGUUUCCCAGGCUGGUCUUGAUCUCCUGGCCUCAAGAGAUCCUCUUGCCUCGGCCUCCCAAAGUGCUGGGAUUACAGUCAUGAGCUCCAUGCUGAGCCACCACCAUGCCCAGCCUGGAAAGAAGGUCUUUGUGGAUGUGAUUCAUUAGAGAUCUUUUUUAUUUUUAUUUUUUAUUUUUUUUGAGACGGAGUUUCACUCUUGUUGCCCAGGCUGGAGUGUAAUGGUGCAAUCUUGGCUCACUGCAAUCUCCGCCUCCCAGGUUCAAGUGAUUCUCCUGCCUCAGCCUCCCAAGUAGCUGUGAUUACAGGCGUGUGCCACCACGCCCAGCUAAUUUUGUGUUUUUAGUAGAGAUGGGGUUUUACCAUGUUGGCCAGGCUAGUUUCGAACUCCUGACCUCAGGUGAUCCUCCUGCCUUGGCCUCCCCGAAGUGCUGGGAUUACAGGUGUGAGCCACCACAGCUGGACUUCAUUAAGGAUCUUGAGAGGAAAUCAUUCCAGAUUUAGGGUGGCCCUAAAUCCGAUGACUGGUGUCCUUAAGAGAGGACAAAGAGGGGCACGUGAAGAUGGAGGCAGAGACUGGAAUGAUGUUGCCACAUGCCAAGGAAUGUUGGGCCACCAGAAGCUGCAAGAGGCAAAGAAGAAUUCUUCCCUUACACUUUUGGAGAGAGCAUCGCCCUGUCAACUCCUUAACUUCAGACUUCUAGUCUUCGCAACUAUGAGAGAAUAAGUGCAUUUAAGCCAUGUUGUUACGGCAGCCCUAGCAGCCCUGGAAAAUGAAUACACUGAGUGCUCGGAUCCAGACCAGCAUAUGGAGCUGGUGAUCUUAUCUUGGGUUUCGUGAUGACUGUUUUCCACGUCUCCACCUUCUUCCCCAUGGCUGCACUGCACAUUUACUGUGGAUCUACACUAAGAUCUCCUCCAAAGGACAGGUAAAUGCGUGAUCACCUGAUCCCUCACCAAAGAGUAUGAGACAGAAAGAAUGGCAAGUGUUCUCUGGGAGCUGCCAAUGACCUGGUACCACACGAUUUUUUAUUUUUACAUAACAUAUGGGUGAGGGGAUACACUAUAGAAAGAUUCAGGUCUGCUGAAGAUUUAUUGUAGUGGAUCUGUUGGAAUAGAGUUCUAGACAGAAAGAAAAUCAGAUGGAAGAACUAGCUAGACUCACUGUGCGAAUCUGGGAAAGGACUACGGGUCCUUGAGUUUCCCCAUCCACGAAAUGGUAAUAAAGGAAGCUCUCCCAAGUAUUUUCUGCGAGGGUUGUGAAGAGCAAUAUAACUUCCGGACAGUCUUAAAAAGAGAGUAUCUUUUUCUGGUUUAUUGCAUACAAGAUGUCAUUGAAUCUUUAUAAUUAUGUUAAGUAUUAGGACCUAGAUCUGAUGGCUCAGGCCUACCCAGGGAAAAGGCCAGGCCCACUCCAGAGGUGGCCGAAAGGUCUCAGCCCAGGGCAGACGUGAUUGGUGUCUGGGCCAGGAUGACCCCUCCCCAACCCCCAGCUUUAAGUACUCCUCACCCUCCCACCUCCUGCUGGCCAUCCUGGGAAGAUCUGCUCGAGAAGGUUCUCCACCCCCACUGGGUCCUAACCCUUUAUUGAGAAGCAAACUUACUGCUCUUCUGAACUAGUAACCCACCAAGCUCUUUUCUGAAGGUCCCUCAUCCUUUUCAGCCUCCAGAGAAGCCACAUACUACAUUCACGUGGAGGUUGAGCAACCACCCUCAUUUUUGGAGCCAAACUGCUUGGAUUCGAAUCUAGGAUCUACCACACACCAGUUGUACAGCAUUGGUUAAGUUACUGCAUUCCUUCUCUGAGAUUACAUCCUCUUGACUGUUUUAGUGUGAAAAUGAAAAUGUUCUUUAUUUAUGCAGUGAUAGUAGGAGAAGAUGUACCAGUGUCUUUCCUUGGACAUUAGAAAUGUAGUCUCUCAUUGGAAAUUACUCUUUCCUACUGGGCAAAAUAAAGAGUGAACAAUCUACCAUCAGGUCUCUAUGAAAGAAAACAGUACCAAUAUAAGGAAUUGGCACGCUCCAAAGAAUCAACGCUCUGCUUUCCCUCUAUUGGUAAAAUGGGGCCAAUAAUAGCAGCAUUCUGUUAAUGAAUUACAUUAGUAAAUAAAUGGCUUAAUUCAAUGUGAAGUGCUUAGAUCAGUGCCUGGCCAAUGGUAGUUGCUCAAUAAAUAACUAUAGGAACUAUUAUUACUCCACUCCUAUCAUACUCACCCAUCUCCCCACAUUACUUCUGGAAACUCCUCCUUGUCUGGCUGUACCCCCACAUGCAGGCAGCCUCCUGCCUCAGGUGCCUUGUUCUGAAAGCCUACAAAUCCCUUCUCAGAUUCCUGCAGAUGCCCAGGGCUCAACAGGGCACAUCUGGCCUUGGUCCUGAUUAGCUUGGAUUGUCCGGUCCAGGCUGAGCUACUCGCCUGGAAUCCCUGCCUUCAGCUCCUCUGCAGCUCUGUGAGCUUCUCUGGGGAUACUCGUUGACGGCCAAGAUGCCUCUCCUGGAACAUAUUGGUGAAGACUCGGCUGCCUUGGCUUUUGUGAUGGGCUUUAUUUUCCUCUAAGAUCUGACAUUCGAUACUUACCACUUAAUAGUCAUUUAUUUAACACCUUUUUCUUUCCUGAUGUCAGGAAGGACAAACAUUUUGGCAGAGGCUUAUCAGCCACCUGCAUCUCUGCCAACUUUUGAGGGAUGUGGUUACGUUUUCUAGAUCCUAACAUCAGAACUCUCUCUCUCUCUCUCUAACAUCAGAACUCUCUCUCUCUCUCUCUCUCUGGGCUCCAGGGCCACUGCUCCUUGUCUAGUCCCCCCAGCCCAGGUGGAGGGGUGCCCUGCUGUGGCUAAGCCCUGGGCUGCUCUGUUUUCUUAGUUGGACACUGAAUGAGACCGCUGCAGAGUGUGCUGUCUAUUCAAACUUGUGAUAUCUCCUUCAUAAUCUUAAACUGACUUCACAUACCCCAAAGCAGCAUUAAUCAGAUCUGCGCAGGUGAACUCUGGGUUCUUAGGCUGGGAGGAGGGUGGGGUGGGGUAACGAUCAGAUAACAGAGCCCCCAGGUUUGUGCAGGUGAAGCCACAUCACCUGCCAGCCUGGGAAGACAUAUCCUUCCCUCUAACCAAGGAAGAAAGUCCUGUGAGGGUGGGGGAGAUCCAGUCUGCAGGCUGUAGGCAUCAGGGGCAGGGACUGGGAGAACAGGGGCAUCUGCCCUUUUUCUAAAGCGAGGGGCUGCUGCUGACUGCUGCUGGGACUGAGACCUUCUGAUUUACCAAGAUAAGCCAGAAAUGGUGUUCUCUUUGUGAAAUCUCCCAAGUUUUAAAUAUUGGCAACAAAGUCAAAGUUUUCCAAAACACUGGAUGGCCAAAGAAAGCACAUCUGUGGGGUAGACUCACCCUGUGGGCCUUCAGUCUGCGACCUCUGACUAGUUACUAAGGAAGAAAUUAAAAGGAAGAGGGAGUGGUGGUGAGCGCAUCCCUGCCUUACCCUCCUGGAGAUUCCCUUGGAGGCAGGAAAAGCCCAGCCCUCUUGACCCCUGCGGCUCUCAGAAGCCUGAAGUUCAGCCUCUGUGGCAGCAUCAAUAACUAGGGUCUACACUGAGAUCAUCCAACUUAGCCCAUAACCGAUUCCUAACCGUGGAGUCAAAGGCCAGGGAGGGGUCAACAGGAGCCAGAAACCAGCCUGUGCGCGCCUCAUGGACUCUCACGAGAAGCAUAAGCAGAGAUCAGGGCUGGACCACACAUCUGCAGCCCCCUGACCUUGGCAUGGUCUGCAGCACGUGGCUGGAAAAGCCCAGCUGGUGACUCUAGGGGAGGAUGGUGUGCAUUUUCUAUGCAGCGUGUUAUAGGUCAGGAGGCCUGGAAUGGGAAAGCCAGAGGUCUCUCUUGGAGGAUGAGGAGCAAAGGCAGCCUUGUAGGGUUGCCUCUACUUACAAUUUGCUGUGUGAUCUUCCGGAGAACAAAUAGUGCCUCAGUUUAUCCAUCUUUAAAAUGGCAGUAAACAUAUGAGAACCCAGCACCCUUGAGGAUGGGCACCAAGAACCGUAUUUGUGGAUUUGAUGAAGAUAAAGAAAACUAGUUGCCAAGGAGUAGUGUGGCCUUUGAUCACUCUCUCAGGUCCUGUAUUUGGCAGCAAUGAGUAGGAAAAUCACCCAUGAAUUAGGAGGGAUCUUCAUACAGACUAAGUCAAAAGGCAGCCUGUGUCUUGCAAAGAGACAGCGACCUUUCACUCUGUCAUUCUUUGGGGACACUCCCUUCAAGCUCCCUGGCCUUAAUUUUCACAGAUGAGGGUGAUAUCUGACCCCCUAAUUAGUUACUAGACAACACGAUGGCCCCUAAGUACCAAUAAUAAGGUGUUUCCACUCCAGGUCCUCAGCAAAGGGAACAACCUGAAAUUCUCUCCUGUGGAAGACGUGUUGAAAGCCCAACUGAGAGACAGUGUUGGCUGAGGAGCCUAGUGAACUGGGGUCCACCUCUCCUGCUGGAGGCUCUGAAGUCGACCCUGGAGCAGCAGAGCCCCCUGAGGGUCCCACCUGCACAGCAUUGCUUUGGUUCACAGCCGCACUGACCUAACACCGCCAGCCUGAGGAAAGGAGGAUGGUCAGAGCGCCCUGCAGGGCUCACUGUGCUCCCUGGAAGGAAGCUUUGGAGCCUGGUGUUUACUAACCUGCACAGUGUGUGUCCCUGCGAAGAGGUCCCACGACAAAGUGUUCUCUCUCAUCAGAGCAGGGGAAAAGGCUGAGUUUCUAUCUCACAGAUACUGACUCACGUAGCUGAAACAAUUGCCCUCUCCAAGUCAGCUGCCAGAACGCUCAGAGAGAAAUCUGUGGGCCACCUCUUACAAAUGUAUAGGCGAUUCCACAGUUUGUGUACUAGCCUCCCCGUUACUUCUUUUGUAAAUAUUCAAUCUUAUUGUGUUGCAUAUAUUUAGGUAAAUGCUCUAAUUCCUUUUGGGACCAAGACAGGUUCAUACACAGGCACUAAAAAGGUGAGAAAACAAACAAACAAAAAAUCCUCACGUCAUCACAGAUUGGCUACUUUAAUGAUUCUGCCUUUAGUUUCCCUCCUAUCCCCAAAAAUUCUGUAUCAUAUCAUACUUGGAAUAUGAGUUUUCACAUUUACCAAAAUAAUAGGGUAUCUUAAUUUUUUUUUUUCUUGAAUCUCCUUUCAUGGCCAGCAUAGAGAGGUUUCUAGAAUGAACCCAAACUUGGGACUCGGGGCCCCUGGGCUCCUCCUGUAGCCAACUGCAGUGGAUGGUGGGUCCCCUUUGUUUGGGGGAUUUACAGCAAUUGUCUUAACGACAUGGACCUCUUUUGUGAAAGCUGCAGGCGUUCCCAGCAAAUGUUGGCUGCAAAUACACUAGCCGGGAUGUUGCCACGGUCACGGCCCUUCCUCGAACAAUCUAAAGCAUAUUUCUCUCUGUAUAUAUUUGUUUUUUUAGAUGCUUUAAAGCCUGGAAAACAAUCAUAGCUGAGGCCAUUUCUGAGAUGGCACUAAAAGAACCUACUCGGAGACAGAUAAAAAUAAUGAGAAUCUUUCUGUCAGGAAAGAUUUAGAAAAUAUCACUGGCAUUAUUAAAAUUUAAUUUUUUACUCCGCUUUUUGGUUCCCCUUUCCAGUGAUAAUGAGCAGGACUGCACACCUCCGCCUUGCUAGUACUUGUUUUGUGCAAUAAAUUCAGCCUUCCAGUCUGAAGACAUUUCAGACAACAGUUUUGACUGCUAUAGGCUUAUUUUUUACCCUGUGCUAUGCUUUGAGUCUUCCUAUAAAAACCAGUUCAUGAGAUAAUUUUCCACAAGGCCAGUGGAACUAAUAAAAAUCAAUUUUGCCCAACUGGUUCAGAGAAAUCUUGGGAAUAGCCAAGGCAGAACUGCAGAAAGGGGGAAAAAAAGGAUCAAUGUAUUCACUAAUGGUUUACUUGAUAGAGAACUAUCAAAUUAGCUGACAGGAGACGCUUGGCUGUAGGAAAUUUCCUUUCAGCCUAAACAGAAUGCCUUUUACAGGCCCAGGAAGAACUUUUCCCUCCCAGGGUUUGAAGAUACUCUAGUAUAGUGAUUCUUCCAAGGACUUGCCCACACCAGGGCCAACCUGGGGCCUGACAGAUGGUGGCCUCUGCUUGUCCAGAACCUCUUUUAUAUGAGAGGAGCCAGUUUUGUGAAGAGGUGGGCUGCAUUUUACUUGAAUUGCUCUUAGACCACGAGAUCAGUGGGUUGGGAAUUCAUCAGUUCACUUGGAUGCCUUAGGUUCUUGAGACCUUCUCACACCCCUUGCAGACACAUGACAGCCUUCUUUUUUUUUUUUUUUUUUGACGGAGUCUUGCUCUGGGGCCCAGGCUAGAGUGCAGUGGCUCAAUCUCGGCUCACUGCAACCUUGGCCUCUGGAGUUCAAGUGAUUCUCCUGCCUCAGCCUCCCGAGUAGCUGGGAUUACAGGUGUCUGCCACCAUGCCUGGCUAAUUUUUUUAAAAACAUUUUUUAGUAGAGACAGGGUUUCAUCGUGUUGGCCAGGCUGGUCUCGAACUCCUGACCUCAGGUGAUCUGCCCACCUUGGCCUCUCAAAGUGCUGGGACUACAGGGGGCAGCCACCGCGCGUGGCCCCGUGACAGCUUUUAGAUCCCCCAUAUUGGCUUCUUGGCAAUCCAAGUGGGAUUUCAAGGGGGCACCUCUUUUAUAAUCAGAACACAAGGCUUAACGACUGUCUAGCUUUCAUUAGUUCAAAACACUAGUUGAACUAACAGCAAGUCUUUGCACAGAAAGAAAAAGAACUGGAAGGAAACGCAGCCAAGUGUUAAUGGUGUUUAUACUCGGGUGGUGGGUGUUUUUUCUAUCUUUAUGUAUUUCUACACUUUCUUGAAUUACCGUAUCUUAUUACAUAUAUAAUAAUUAUUUAAAAUAAUGCUAAACUAAAAAUUCAGUAUAUUGAAUAAAAGAAACAUAAUAGACUAAUUUAUUCACAGUGUUAUAAGAGAGUAAGAGGGGGCUGGGCGCAGUGGCUCAUGCCUGUAAUUAAGCACUUUGGGAGGCCGAGGUGGGCGGAUCACCUGAGGUCAGGAGUUAGAGACUAGCCUGGCCAAUAUAUAGUGAAACCCUGUCUCUACUAAAAAUACAAAAAUUAGCUGGGUGCGCUGGCACAUGUCUGUAGUCUCAGCUACUUGGGAAGCUGAGGCAGAAGAAUUGCUUGAACCCAGGAGGCAGAGGCUGCAGUGAGCUGAGACUGUGCCAAUGCACUGCAGCCUGGGUGACAGAGCAAGACUGUCUCUCAGAAAAAAAAAAAAAAAAAAAGAGUAAUAGGGAAUGUGUAGGAGAAAAAAGAACAAGGGUAAAAAUUAUUUAAAAAUUUUUUUUAGUGACUUCUACUAUCCUAAGUCCUUCACUCAAAUUAUUUUAUUUAAUCCUCAUACCAAAUCUAUGGCAAAGGUGUCAAUGUUCCCAUUUUCCAGAGGAGGAGACUGAGGCUUAGAGAGUUAAGUUAGCCAAGAUCACACAGCUAGUUGGUGGAAAAGCUGGUAUUUAAAAUCGGAUCUGAUGUCAAAGACCACAUGCAAUACAACAGUGAGGAAAAUAACAAGUCACAGAAUGUCUUGCUUUCUAGCUGUAGUUCCAAACGGCUAUGAUGCCAGGUGAGUCACUUUGCAUUUAUGAUUAAAGUCAGGGACAACAACAUCUGUCCUUUUUUCCUAUCUCAUGGGUUCUUGUGAUGCUGAAAUUAGAUCACACGUGUAAAAGAAGAGAAAACGCAAUGUCCUCCUCAAAGGAAUAUGGUAAUAUGAUAAUAUUUCAUAUAAUAUCGGUGAGUUGAGGGUUGUCACGAAUGCUCUUUGGGUACUGAUAAUUUUCAAAGAAAAACUUAUACAAAAGCAGAAUUAUUAUUAAGACUAUAUUGAAUAAAUUUGUUUUUGAUGAUUCAGAAAGUUUAACAGAAUCUGACCCUAUCCUAGUCAUCAUUAGGACCACUAAUUUUCUUGCUGAUAAUAUAUUAUGUAAAAAGCAAGGGUUACAAAUAGUACGUAUAGUAUGAUCUGAAUUUUGCAAAAACUACAUAUAUAAAUGUAAAACAGAAAUCGGAAAGAUAUACAUUGAAAUGUAAAUAAUGAUUGUGUCUAGGCGUUGGGAUCAUAAUUUUAAUUUUUUAUUUAUUAUUUUAUUUUAUUAUUAUUUUUUAGAGGCAGAGUCUCACUCUGUUGCCCAGGCUGGAGUGCAACAGCGUGAUUAUAGCUCAUUGCAACCUCAACCUCCUGGGCUCAAGCAGUCCUCCCACCUCAGCCUCCUGAGUAGCUGGGACCACAGGCAUGCAUGACCACACCUGGCUAAUUUAUUUUUUGUAGCAAUGGGGUCUUACUCUACUGUCCAGGCCGGUCUCGAACUCCUGGCCUCAAGUGAUCUUCCCACCUAGCCUCCCACAGUGCUGGGAUUACAGGCAUGAGCCAAUGCGCCUGGCCAGGAUCAUGAUUUUUUAAAAAUCUCUGAUUUUUUGAAUUUUACAAUUUUUUUUUGCAUUUUGCAUUUUGAUUUGAAUUUUGCAAAUUUUGGGGUAAUAAAUAUGUACUGUUUCUAUAAUCAGAAAAUAUGAUCCAGCCCCCUCUUCCCCACAGUACAAAAACAUCACCUUUUUCCUUGAAUAAAAC
rnacentral:lncRNA from 1 species